CCAUGACGAAGAUUCAUUAAUCACGAUUCGUUCAUCGAUAGCUCUGCAUCUACACAGACGACAGAAAAUAGGAGACAAGAUACGACUAUUGAAAUAUCGAAAAGAAAAAAAUAAGAUUCUCAGAACACACAAGAUGUUUUGAAGAACAUUGGAAACCAAACAACGAGAAGAAAGAAAGUCAUACAGUUAAAGUGAGAUCAUUGUUGUCAAAUGGGAAGUUGCCGCGGACAUGAAUGAUAAUUCAUUAGUAGUUGACUAGAUUCACUGUGAGUUUGCAGAUUGUAUAGCGACCUCUGCUGACGGAGUAAAGUCAAAGUUCAGAGAGAAGCAGUGCGAGCAGGAAGACACGUUUCUGAUGUCUGAACUCAUUCAAUAAAGCACAAUUAAGAAAUGGAAUCCAUGAGCACAGGAGAAGAUGUGUGUCACAUUGUUCUGCUCACUGCAGGGGAAAAAAAGCAGAAACGCAAGAAACGGAAGACAGAAAGCAGGAGGGAGAAAUACGGAGAGCGCCACCAAAGGGCCGGACGUAUCGCACAUCACCCCUCCUCCACAUGUUUUCAUCCUUCACUCUGACCUCUGACCUCUGCCCAACCCCCUUCAAACACACACACAGGCAUCCCGUUUCCCUGCGUUAAAUUAACAACACACUUCUGCUCUGACUACAAGACGCACACGCAGUAUUUGAUCUGCUGACACACACUACAUCACUCGACACACACUCCUGAUAGCAGCCGGAUAUGAGCUCUCUGUGUGUGUGUGUGUGUGUGUGAAAUGCACACAGUCAACUUACGUCUGAUUGAACUACCUUUACAUUUUAAAAAAUGCCUUUGAGGAUGAUCACAUUGUUUAUAAAUGAGAAUGAAUGUACAGAGUAACAAAACAUUUGACAAGAACUGAAACAAUUCCUUCAAAGAGGCGAUUUACACUCUUAAAAAUAAAGGUGCUUCAAGCGAUGCCACAAAAGAACCUUUUUUAGUUCCAUUCAGUCAAAGGUUCUUUAAAGAACCAUCUCUUCCUUACCUUUUUAUAACCUGAAGAACCUUCUUUCACCACAAAGAACCUUUUGUGAAACAGAGAUGUUAUCUGAUGUCUUCAGAUGUUAAAGGUUCUUAAUGGAACCAUUUAGACAAAAAGGUUCUUCUAUGGCUUCAUGAAGCACCUUUAUUUUUAAGAGUGUAGACGUUCAUGUUGAUUUUAUGUUUGUGUCUGUUUGAAUUAUGAUGAAGCUUGAAAAUAAAACAGAUAUGCACAGAAAACAAAUAGAAA